rnacentral:rRNA from 1 species
UACGUAGGGAGCAAGCGUUAUCCGGAUUUACUGGGUGUAAAGGGCGCGUAGGCGGGAUGGCAAGUCAGAUGUGAAAUCCAGGGGCUCAACCCCUGAACUGCAUUUGAAACUGUCGUUCUUGAGUACUGGAGAGGUUGACGGAAUUCCUAGUGUAGCGGUGAAAUGCGUAGAUAUUAGGAGGAACACCAGUGGCGAAGGCGGUCAACUGGACAGCAACUGACGCUGAGGCGCGAAAGCGUGGGGAGCAAACA